rnacentral:rRNA from 1 species
AUUGAACGCUGGCGGCAUGCCUUACACAUGCAAGUCGAACGGCAGCGGACCUUCGGGUGCCGGCGAGUGGCGAACGGGUGAGUAAUGUAUCGGAACGUACCUUUCAGUGGGGGAGAACGUAGCGAAAGUUACGCUAAUACCGCAUAUUCUGUGAGCAGGAAAGAAGGGGAUCGCAAGACCUUGCGCUGAUUGAGCGGCCGAUAUCAGAUUAGCUAGUUGGUGAGGUAAAGGCUCACCAAGGCGACGAUCUGUAGCGGGUCUGAGAGGAUGAUCCGCCACACUGGAACUGAGACACGGUCCAGACUCCUACGGGAGGCAGCAGUGGGGAAUUUUGGACAAUGGGGGCAACCCUGAUCCAGCCAUGCCGCGUGAGUGAAGAAGGCCUUCGGGUUGUAAAGCUCUUUCGUCCGGGAAGAAAUCGCAUCAGCUAAUACCUGGUGUGGAUGACGGUACCGGAAUAAGAAGCACCGGCUAACUACGUGCCAGCAGCCGCAGUAAGAC